rnacentral:rRNA from 1 species
AUUGAACGCUGGCGGCAUGCUUUACACAUGCAAGUCGAACGGUAACAGGCCGCAAGGUGCUGACGAGUGGCGAACGGGUGAGUAAUGCAUCGGAACGUGCCCAGUCGUGGGGGAUAACGCAGCGAAAGCUGCGCUAAUACCGCAUACGAUCUAUGGAUGAAAGCGGGGGACCGUAAGGCCUCGCGCGAUUGGAGCGGCCGAUGUCAGAUUAGGUAGUUGGUGGGGUAAAGGCUCACCAAGCCAACGAUCUGUAGCUGGUCUGAGAGGACGACCGACCACACUGGGACUGAGACACGGCCCAGACUCCUACGGGAGGCAGCAGUGGGGAAUUUUGGACAAUGGGCGCAAGCCUGAUCCAGCAAUGCCGCGUGCAGGAAGAAGGCCUUCGGGUUGUAAACUGCUUUUGUACGGAACGAAAAGGCUCUGGUUAAUACCUGGGGCUCAUGACGGUACCGUAAGAAUAAGCACCGGCUAACUACGUGCCAGCCGCCGCAGUAACAC